UACGGGGGGGGCAAGCGUUGUUCGGAAUUACUGGGCGUAAAGGGCCAGUAGGCGGCCAACUAAGUCGGAUGUGAAAUCCCACGGCUCAACCGUGGAAGUGCAUUUGAAACUGCAGGGCUAGAGUCCUGGAGAGGAAGGUGGAAUGCUUGGUGUAGAGGUGAAAUUCGUAGAUAUCGAGCGGAACACCGGUGGCGAAGGCGGCCUUCUGGACAGUGACUGACGCUGAGACACGAAAGCGUGGGGAGCAAACAGG
rnacentral:rRNA from 1 species